GCCAGACUCCUACGGGAGGCAGCAGUGGGGGAUAUUGCACAAUGGGGGGAACCCUGAUGCAGCGACGCCGCGUGGGUGAAGGAGCGUUUCGGCGCGUAAAGCCCUAUCGGCAGGGAAGAAGGAGGACGGUACCUGACUAAGAAGCCCCGGCUAACUACGUGCCAGCAGCCGCGGUAAUACGUAGGGGGCAAGCGUUAUCCGGAUUUACUGGGUGUAAAGGGGGCGCAGACGGCAGCGCAAGCCAGGAGUGAAAGCCCGGGGCCCAACCCCGGGACUGCUCUUGGAACUGCGCGGCUGGAGUGCAGGAGGGGCAGGCGGAAUUCCUGGUGUAGCGGUGAAAUGCGUAGAUAUCAGGAGGAACACCGGUGGCGAAGGCGGCCUGCUGGACUGCGACUGACGUUGAGGCCCGAAAGCGUGGGGAGCAAACAGGAUUAGAUACCCCAGUAGCA
rnacentral:rRNA from 1 species